UGUGUGUGUGUGUGUGUGUGUGUGUGUGUGUGUGUGUGUGUGUGUGUGUGUGUGUGUGUGUGUGUGUGUGUGUGGUAAAAAAAAAAAAACGGCCACCUGUGAUAUGUGUGUGCGUGUACGUGUACGUGUGCGCGUACGUGAGAGAUAGUGUGCGUGUACGUGUACGUGUGCGUGUGCGCGUGCGUGCAUAUGUAGUGGCGGGCGCCGGUUGUCACCUUACAUACCUGCAUACAAGUUGAGCACAAUUCAAUGGUUGUUAUAUUCUACUACAAGUUUUAUCACACUCUUGUUGUCUGUUGAAUCGCUUUGCAUCACCGACAGUUAUUCCUCUGCCUUGGUAACACUGCGCUGCCAACACUCCUACGCCAAACACUCAUUAUCUCACCUGUGCCGCGUAAUGUCUCGCUCCCCCAAAGUCAUACACGUAGAGACCCCUUAGAGUGUUCGAUAAUUGGUGCAGGGAGCGUACGAUAGUGCAGGAAGGUACAGGGUAUUUUGUGUAUGAUAAUUGUGGGUUUUUUUGGAGUUUGAUGUCAGAAGGUAAAGGAAAGUUAGCGUGUGGGAGGAAAGUAAAGGGUGUUCUAGAAUUUCAUGGUGUUUUUCUAGGCUGGGAAAGUAAAUGAAGGGAAAAUUGGGAAAAGUGCAGGAUAUUGGAUGUCAUUAAUUAAUUUAUUUUUAUUUAUUUAUUUUUUUUUAGGAUGGAGAAUGAAAAGUUAGAGGGAAAAGAAAGCGAAGGUAGAAGUACAAAAUGUAUCAGAAAUGUUUUGUUGAUAGUUAUUAUUUUCACAGUAAAAAAAGACAAUGAAAGCAAAACAAGGGUUAAAAGUACAAUAUAAAUUUACACUACUAAUCCUUGCGUUAAGUUUUGAAUAGACGAUGCAAGACAAAGAUAACAAGAUGAAACGAAAAGUACAAUGGAAGAUGCGGUGGCGAACAGUGAAUGGAAGUCACGAGACACGAUGCAGUGAAGUACAGUGUUGGCGCAGGAGUUGUGGGCGCGCGUGUGUGCAGCGGUGGCCAGAAGUUGUGCCCUGUGUGGUAGCCAUGAUGGACGGUAGUUAGGCCUGUAUUCUGAGACACCUUGCUCUCUCUCUCUCCAUCACUGCUUUCCAAAGGCUCCAGUUGAAGAUGUUCAUGUUUUCAAUUGUAUUUUCUUGGUUCUUUUGAUAGAUUGGCAAGAUUUCUACUUUAUUGAAAGGAGAAACUGUCUUGAAGACCCGGCUAGUUGUCUCUGUGGCCUUGGAAAAUUGUCGUAGUGAGAGAGUAAUGCGUUUCUGAGUACGGGCGUUAGACUGAAGGGCGUGAAGAGGUGCGAGGAGGGAGGAAGGAAGGAGGGAAGGAGAGGUAGAAGCAGGUGUAGAGUUGGUUACGUUUAUCAUGGCUACAACACCACACAACGUUUGGCUACCACUGUGCACGGUGGAGACCAGGCUUUCCUCUCCCCACACUAUUGUUGAUCAUUGUAAAGUAUAUGACAUAUAUGAAUAUUAUAUAUAUACAAAAAUAUAAAUAUAUAUAUAAAAUACAAAAUAUAUAUAGAGAGAUUAUUCGUGUAUAUUAUUUGUUAAAUGUUUCAAAUCUAUACUAACAAAUAAAAAUUUAAUAUACAUAGGAUGGAUUGUAUUAUUAUUGUUGUUGUUGUUGUUGUUGUUGGUGUGUGUGUGUGUGUGUGUGUGUGUGUGUGUGUGUGUGUGUGUGUGUGUGUGUGUGUGUGUGUGUGUGUUUUACUAUUUAUAUUGUUUUGUUUUGUUUGAUUUUAGUUUCAUUGUAAUAUCGUUUGUAGGCGUCGUAGGUUUGAUUUCUCUCUCUCUCUCUCUCUCUCUCUCUCUCUCUCUCUCUCUCUCUCUCUCUCUCUCUCUCUCUCUCUCUCUCUCUCUCUC